AAAUUUUAUGUCCAGUACUAAAACCGUUUUGAGUGACUUAUCGGCAGAAUGGUAUUCAAAUGGACUACAGUAAAUUUUGGUUUCUCUUCCUCUGAGCGUUGCACUUAAUAUAAUUCGUGCCCCACUCAUAAAUGAGAAACUACAAUUGAUAUGA